rnacentral:rRNA from 1 species
ACUUAAGCAUAUCAAUA